rnacentral:rRNA from 1 species
GAUUUUCUUGAUUACAAGGUAUUGAAUAAGGUUUUAAUUGAAUGCUAAAAGAAUGGAAUAUCAAAGAAUAACUUUCUUAAAAUUAAAAAUUGAAAUUUUUUUAAUUUGUGUAAAAACAAUUAUAUAAAUUAAAGACAAGAAGACCCUAAGAAUUUUUAAAAUUUAAAUUAACACAUUUUUGUUUUAAUUAAAUUUUAACUGGGGCGGUUAAAAAAUAUUAAAAACUUUUUAAUUAUGAAAAUGACCCAUUAUUAAUGAAAAUAUGAUAAAAUACUCUAGGGAUAACAGCGUUAUAUUUUUUGAUAGAUCAUAUUGACAAAAAAGUUUGCGACCUCGAUGUUGGAUUAGGAUACUUUUUUAAUGAAGAUAUUAAAAUAAGAAGUUUGUUCAACUUUUAAAUUCCUACAUGAUCUGAUUUUAGACCGAAUGCGA